rnacentral:rRNA from 1 species
AUUGAACGCUGGCGGAAUGCUUUACACAUGCAAGUCGAACGGCAGCACGGACUUCGGUCUGGUGGCGAGUGGCGAACGGGUGAGUAAUGCAUCGGAACGUGCCCAGUCGUGGGGGAUAACGUAGUGAAAAUUACGCUAAUACCGCAUACGAUCUAUGGAUGAAAGCGGGGGAUCGCAAGACCUCGCGCGAUUGGAGUGGCCGAUAUCAGAUUAGGUAGUUGGUGGGGUAAAGGCCCACCAAGCCAACGAUCUGUAGCUGGUCUGAGAGGACGACCAGCCGCACUGGAACUGAGACACGGUCCAGACUCCUACGGGAGGCAGCAGUGGGGAAUUUUGGACAAUGGGCGAAAGCCUGAUCCGGCCAUUCCGCGUGCAGGAUGAAGGCCCUCGGGUUGUAAACUGCUUUUGUACAGAACGAAAAGGUUUCUACUAAUACUAGGAGCUCAUGACGGUACUGUAAGAAUAAGCACCGGCUAACUACGUGCCAGCCGCCGCCGUAA